UGGAAAGACAGUGCUCACACCUGGUUUGUUCUGUCUGCCAGGACGUCUCUUCCUGCAGAUGGGAUUUCUGGAGUCGGUUUCCCCAGCUCCGGAAAGAAGGGUUUGUGUUAGGGUUAGGAUUAUCAUUAAGUUUAUCAUUGGGGUUAGGGCUGGAGUUAGGGUUAUGGCUAGGGCUAGGGCUUGGCUUAGGGUUAGGCUUAGGCUUAGGGCUAUGGAUUGGGUUAGGGGAUGGGUUAGGGUUAGCUGUUGGCUUAGGUUUAGGAUUAGGGAUUGCCUUAGGUUUAGGAUUAGGUGUUGGUUUAGAUGUUGGGCUAGGGUUAGGGUUUGGGUUAGGCGUUGGUUUAGGUCUCCCCGGGGCCCUCUCUUCUCCAAGCUGAACAAGCCCAGUUCCCUCAACCUUUCCUCACAGGAGAGGUGCUCCAGCCCUCUGGCCAUCUUAGUGGCCCUCCUCUGGACCUGCUCCAAGAGCGCCACGUCCUUCCUGUGCUGGGGGCUCCAGGCCUGGACGCGGU
rnacentral:lncRNA from 1 species